CCUAGGGCGGCUGCAGUGGGGAAUAUUGGACAAUGGGCGAAAGCCUGAUCCAGCCAUGCCGCGUGUGUGAAGAAGGCCUUCGGGUUGUAAAGCACUUUCAGUGGGGAAGAAAGCCUUGGGGCUAAUACCCUCGAGGAAGGACAUCACCCACAGAAGAAGCACCGGCUAACUCCGUGCCAGCAGCCGCGGUAAUACGGAGGGUGCGAGCGUUAAUCGGAAUUACUGGGCGUAAAGCGCGCGUAGGCGGUCUGAUAAGCCGGUUGUGAAAGCCCCGGGCUCAACCUGGGAACGGCAUCCGGAACUGUCAGGCUAGAGUGCAGGAGAGGAAGGUAGAAUUCCCGGUGUAGCGGUGAAAUGCGUAGAGAUCGGGAGGAAUACCAGUGGCGAAGGCGGCCUUCUGGACUGACACUGACGCUGAGGUGCGAAAGCGUGGGUAGCAAACAGGAUUAGAUACCCCGGUAGU
rnacentral:rRNA from 1 species